rnacentral:rRNA from 1 species
UACGUAGGGUGCAAGCGUUAAUCGGAAUGACUGGGCGUAAAGGGUGCGCAGGCGGUCUGCUAAGACAGAGGUGAAAUCCCCGGGCUUAACCUGGGAAUGGCCUAUGUGACUGGCAGGCUAGAGGAUGGCAGAGGGAGGCGGAAUGCCACGUGUAGCAGUGAAAUGCGUAGAGAUGUGGCGGAACACCAGUGGCGAAGGCGGCUACCUGGACCUCGGCUGACGCUGAGGCGCGAAAGCGUGGGGAGCGAUCCGG